AGCGAACGCUGGCGGCAGGCCUAACACAUGCAAGUCGAACGGACCUUUCGGGGUUAGUGGCGGACGGGUGAGUAACACGUGGGAACGUGCCUUUAAGUUCGGAAUAGCUCCUGGAAACGGGUGGUAAUGCCGAAUGUGCCCUUAGGGGGAAAGAUUUAUCGCCUUUAGAGCGGCCCGCGUCUGAUUAGCUAGUUGGUGAGGUAAUGGCUCACCAAGGCUACGAUCAGUAGCUGGUCUGAGAGGAUGACCAGCAACAUUGGGACUGAGACACGGCCCAAACUCCUACGGGAGGCAGCAGUGGGGAAUCUUGCGCAAUGGGCGAAAGCCUGACGCAGCCAUGCCGCGUGGAUGAUGAAGGUCUUAGGAUUGUAAAAUCCUUUCACCGGUGAAGAUAAUGACUGUAGCCGGAGAAGAAGCCCCGGCUAACUUCGUGCCAGCAGCCGCCGUAA
rnacentral:rRNA from 1 species